UACGAAGGGGGCUAGCGUUGCUCGGAAUCACUGGGCGUAAAGCGCACGUAGGCGGAUUGCUAAGUCAGGGGUGAAAUCCUGGAGCUCAACUCCAGAACUGCCUUUGAUACUGGCGAUCUUGAGUCCGGGAGAGGUGAGUGGAACUGCGAGUGUAGAGGUGAAAUUCGUAGAUAUUCGCAAGAACACCAGUGGCGAAGGCGGCUCACUGGCCCGGUACUGACGCUGAGACGCGAAAGCGUGGGGAGCAAACAGG
rnacentral:rRNA from 1 species